ensembl:lncRNA
AAACAGCACAGUGUUGUUAUAAACCAGUAACCUUAACCCUUAGCCUCAAAGCACACCCUUUUCCUGAUAACACAGACAGACAUUCACACUCAAAAUACAGUACAACGAUAUUCGGUGUUCACACAUUUGUACACACACACGUACAGCGCACACGUUCAUUUCCAGUGAAGUCCCAGAUUCACUGAAUUGGCAGCGGGCUUAAAAGUGACCUGAAUGUUCCUCCUUAAUGACUGGCUGGAAGCGGGAAGAGGUUUCUUCUGUGGUGCUGCUGUUGCGUAACUUCUCAAGAUGUCCUUUGAAGUCUCGUUCCCCAUUUUAGAAAUCUUCAUGCCGAUCAUCACGUUUGGAAUUAUCAUCCUCUGCUGCACGGCCUUCUGCAAGGCCUUUCACCGCGUCCGCGAGGAGCGAAUGGAGCGGGAGGAGAGACUCGACAGGCCCUCGGUUUUCGUUAUCCCCUUCCCAGCGGUGUCCUGUGACAACGAAGACCUCCACAGGCCUCCGCGUUACAGCACCACAGAGUCCUACAGCCCGCCUCCUGCCUACAACGAGGUGGAGAUGAAGCCAGACUUCAUCGAAGCAGAUCUUCCUCCAGCCUACUCAGAGAUCUCACACGCCCCAGAUGUCUAAUUGCGUUCUCCAUCCACUGCGCCUUGGUUUGGUUCCUCCUCAGCCCCACUGUCACCCGGGGGACCAUACUAGCUGGGAAAACUGAAGGCCAAACACACUCGAAGAGAACCUAGGCUAUGCGUGGAUCCAUGACCCUGAAGCUGUACUAACUGUUCUGCAGAGACUUAGCACUGGGGUUUGUGAAAGGUGUGUUUGGGAGGCGCCCUGUGGGAAAAGGAUGAAUCGGCUUAUGUGGCAAGCGUGGGAUUAUGGACGUCUAUGAAUGUGUGUCCUGUGAAGCAAGAUUUGUCCCUCCACCUGCUCUGUGUACAUGUGUAAAUAUUCAAAAAUCUUGAAUAAAUUGUAUUUUUGUAAGCCUUACUCAAAACUGUUAAUAUGAUGAAGUAUUAUUGUUGUGGGCCUUGAUCUGUGAUAAUAUGGUAGUUUAUUUAAAUGUUUUUUGACAUCUGGAAUGAAGUCUGUUUUCCAUUUUGAAGAUCCAAUCUGUUCUCUUCUGUGUCAGUCAUGUCUGAUGCUUCCACACAUCUUCUAUGCUCUUUAACCCCAUCGGUUUCAUAACAGCUCUACCCAGUAAGAUGAUUUAUGAAAGCCUAUUAGUAAGAUAUUGAACAGACAACUGAUUAUCUUCGCCAUGUGACUGACCGACAUAGUGUCAUUGACACGCCUCUUAAACAUUUUCUUUCAGGCUUUAUUACCGCUGCCCAAUCAUAGAUUCAUACUUCAAUAAUAUUAGGACUUUGGCUAAUGGUAGGUCAUUAAGCAAUGAUAAAACCCUUUCACUGACUGUCACUGAAAACCUUGAUGAAAUCAUAUUAGUUCAUAGCUGCCUUUAAAAUGCAUGUUUUAAUCAUCAACGCCUGCCUAAAAAUGUGUGCAGACAUGAUAAAGCCAUGUAUGAACAGUGUUUAUGACUAGACUACAGGUUGAGCAGUUGAGAUACCUCCUUGCUACCAAUCCAACACAGCUUUGGUUCAUAAAAUGUAUGUAUGAACAAUACUACCAUUUACCAAAUGUUUAAAACCAGAGUCUGUUGUGUUCCAUGGACAGUGUUAUGCUGAUGAGCUAAAGCCUUGGCCUUAACAUGGGGAACCAAAACCUCAGUCUACUGGAGGGGUUUAGUGACUGUGAUUCACCAAAAUAACUGGAAUAUGUAAACAGUUUUAUGUAGCAUCAUAGCCGAUUGUGAAUGUUUUAGGUGGUUUUAAUAGCAUGGGAGAUCAAAGUCCUGUUCCAGUCACACUGUUUGUAUUGAGCCAUGAAGUGCAGCCACGUUAUUUUUUUGCUGUCUUUAUUUGAAUCAAAGGUUGCUCAGUCAAAUCCCUGAGCCAGCAAAGGAAAAAAUCUGUGGUUCUGUGUUUGAGAAAAACAUUUAACCCUUUUUUGCUCCACUAAGAGCAUCUGAUCAAUUACUAAAAUAUAAAAGCUGAAAAUUGGUUCCUGGGGGACUGUACUUGGAGAACAAGUUAAGGUAUUGU